rnacentral:rRNA from 1 species
AUUGAACGCUGGCGGCAGGCCUAACACAUGCAAGUCGAGCGGAGCGGCGGACGGGUGAGUAAUGCCUAGGAAUCUGCCUGGUAGUGGGGGAUAACGUCAGGAAAAGGACGCUAAUACCGCAUACUCUCAGAUGAGCCUAGGUCGGAUUAGCUAGUUGUGGGGGUACAGGCCUACAAAGGCGACGAUCCGGAACUGGUCUGAGAGGAUGAUCAGUCACACGUGAACUGAGACACGGUCCAGACUCCGACGGGAGGCAGCAGUGGGGAAUAGUGGAAAAUGGGCGAAAGCCGGAUCCAGCCAGGCCGCGUGUGUGAAGAAGGUCUUCGGAUUGUAAAGCACUUUAAGUUGGGAGGCGUUACCAACAGAAUAAGCACCGGCGAACUUCGUGCCAGCAGCCGCGGUAAUAC